rnacentral:lncRNA from 1 species
AGCCGGAAGAGCGGGUCCCCGCUGGUGUUUGGGGCCCCCGGGCGGCUUGGAAGAGAAGGUGAGCUUUCAGAAAGCUUGUUCCCUCCCGGGAGGAGCCCGAGCCGAGCGUCUGGUCUCCUUAGGGAAUGGCGCUCGGCCAGACCGCUGCCCCGGUGUCACGGGAGGGACCGGGGGAUCGGAGGACAAGACAGUAGUGAUUCCCUUCUCUUGGACUCCAUUUUGGGAAGACAGGUACUUUCUGAUUUCUGGAAGAGGCUGUAACUAAUUUCUGGGCAAAUCUGCAAAGCAGAUUCCUGUAGAAGUGGCCUUCAUCUUGUCAUUGUUGAAUUUGGGGCCUUUUGGAUCAGGACAUACUUCAGUGCCAAGCAAUGAUACUACAUUGAAAAAAAAAAGGUAUUGCUGAAUGUUGGAAGGCCUAUUGCUUCAUCUUUGUUUU